UCUCGGCUUUUGUGACGUCAUCGAUUCAAUACUUUUCGCGAAGGUCCCUCGCGAGAGAGAGCGCGCAUAAUACCUGCAAGCGCCGUCCGGUGGCGCCACGAACGCUAAGCUCGAACCAGACUCGACCGAGUGUGCAACGAGUGCCGCCAAAUAUAAACGAUUUUCGUUCCCGUUCUUUUAGAUCUUUUUUGUUUUUGUUUUUUUAUCUUCUAUAUAUUGCAUAUUAUAUUAUAUUAUAUUAUAUUAUAUUAUAUUAUAUUAUAUUAUAUUAUCUUGUAUUCGUGCGUCAUUUAUUCUUAAAUCGUAAAAACGAUAAAUGAUAAAAAAUUGUAGAAACAAUUAUUGAAAAAUAUACACGAGUAAAUAUUUUCUGUGUUUAAUAAGUUAUCAAUAUCGUUCGUCACAAUAGGCCUUUGUUAUCUGCCAUACAGUACAAUGGUCAAGUUAUACGUAUUUACUUAUAUUUUAAAUUUAUUAUCGACGUCUCAAAUUACGCAUUUCUUUCAAGGUCUUAAUUCGAAACACAGCUAAAGGAUUAAUCCACGUUUCUCAAUCAUAUGAAUAAAAGGAAUCAUCGAUCGAAAAAUCAAAAUUGAAGCUAUGAUUUUUCCAUGGAAGUAUGACGCAUUCAGGAAUCACUUUUAGAUUAAUGAUUAUGAUGAUUAAGAAUGUACGAGUUCGUAGAAAUCGUACGUAAGACUUACGAUACGCCUUAAAAAAAAAUUAAAAAUAUCAACGAAAUAAAGAAAAUUCAUUCUAUCUA